GUCCCUGUAGAUCCAUGGAUCGAGCGUUGGACUUCUAAUCCAAAGGUCGUGGGUUCGAAUCCCACCUGGGCUG
rnacentral:tRNA from 1 species